rnacentral:rRNA from 1 species
GGAUAUUGCGCAGUGGGCGAAAGCCUGACGCAGCGACGCCGCGUGGGUGAUGAAGGCCUUCGGGUCGUAAAGCCCUGUCGAGGGGGACGAAUCGGUUGCGACUUAAUACGUCGUGAUCCUGACGGUACCCCUAAAGGAAGCACCGGCUAACUCCGUGCCAGCAGCCGCGGUAAUACGGAGGGUGCAAGCGUUGUUCGGAAUCACUGGGCGUAAAGCGCGUGUAGGCGGCCCAUUAAGUCUGAUGUGAAAGCCCGGGGCUCACCCCCGGAAGUGCAUUGGAAACUGAUGGACUCGAGUCCCGGAGAGGAGGGUGGAAUUCCUGGUGUAGCGGUGAAAUGCGUAGAUAUCAGGAGGAACACCGGUGGCGAAGGCGGCCCUCUGGACGGUGACUGACGCUGAGACGCGAAAGCGUGGGGAGCAAACAGG